rnacentral:rRNA from 1 species
UACGUAGGUGGCAAGCGUUGUCCGGAUUUACUGGGCGUAAAGAGCGCGCAGGCGGUCGUAUAAGUCGAAUGUGAAAGCCCCGGCUCAACUGGGGAGGGUCAUUCGAUACUGUUCGACUCGAAGGCAGGAGAGGGAAGUGGAAUUCCGGGUGUAGUGGUGAAAUGCGUAGAUAUCCGGAGGAACACCAGUGGCGAAGGCGACUUUCUGGCCUGUUCUUGACGCUGAGGCGCGAAAGCUAGGGGAGCAAACGGG